rnacentral:rRNA from 1 species
AGAUACCAAAUAUAUAAAUAAAUCUUACUGUAUCUUUAAAAGUUAGUCUAAAAAGGUACAGCCUUUUAGAAAUGGGUACAACCUUCACUAGAGAGUAAGACCUUACAACACCAUAGUAGGCCUAAAAGCAGCCAUCAAUUAAGAAAGCGUUAAAGCUCAACAAUAAAAAUAAUAUUAAUCCCAACAAUAAUACAGCUAACUCCUAGACCUAAUACUGGACUAUUCUAUUAUUAAAUAGAAGCAAUAAUGUUAAUAUGAGUAACAAGAAAUAUUUUCUCCCUGCACAAGUUUAAGUCAGUAUCUGAUAAUAUUCUGACUGUUAACAGUUAAUAAUAACACCCCAACAAUAAAUAAUUUAUUAAUUGUGCUGUUAACCCAACACAGGAGUGCACCCAGGAAAGAUUAAAAGAAGUAAAAGGAACUCGGCAAACACAAACCCCGCCUGUUUACCAAAAACAUCACCUCCAGCAUUUCCAGUAUUGGAGGCACUGCCUGCCCAGUGACUAAACGUUAAACGGCCGCGGUAUCCUGACCGUGCAAAGGUAGCAUAAUCAUUUGUUCUCUAAAUAAGGACUUGUAUGAGCGGCCACACGAGGGUUUUACUGUCUCUUACUUCCAAUCAGUGAAAUUGACCUCCCCGUGAAGAGGCGGGAAUGAAU